UCAAUAUUCCAGUUUGGGUUUUCAUGUUAUUGAUCUUCCUCCUCCUUCUAUUGUUAGCCUCUUGGCUAAUGACUCUUCUAGGGGAACCACUGCGAGGCUUGUCCCAGUGUAGUUCUCCUUUGUGUUUUUGUCGGGCUUAGGCCCUCCUUGUAACCAAAAAAAAAAAAUCAAAGGUUUUUUUUUUUUUUUUUUCAGUACCAUCCUUUUUAUUUUCUCAAUCAAUAAAUCUUUGAUGAAUUCAAUCUAAUCACACAACUUUUGAUUUGGUUUGGUUUUUUUUUUGGUCAUACUCUGGUUUGGUUUCGUUUGGAGGUUUAAGCCAAAUUUCGUAAUCUUGAAUCUGCAAGAUUUGCUUGUACGGAGCCAUUCAUGGUGGCAGAGCUAAGCUUUCCCUUUUAUGUUUGAUUACAUUCACGAUAUAUUGGGGAGAUGGAGUACUGGAGUUAUUGCCUCAUUUGUUAGGCUUGCAUCUCUCUCUUGAGGUGAUAAUUUUCUUGCAUGAUGUAGUCUACACUAGUCCUUUGAAUUCAUAAACAAGGUUCUAGCACUUACAGUAGUAUCCUUUGUCGUGGCUGCAAUAACUGAUCUGCAAUUCUAUCUCAGGCAGUUGGAAGGAAAGCAUUGAGAUGGGUAUUCCAGUUGCUUGACAAAGCUUGGUCGCACUAUGGAUCAUGAUUUUGCUGGGUAGAAGAAGCCUCCUUUUAUAGGCACUUCGACCCCUUAAUCUUAUCAGACCUCCUCCUUGCUUUUCCUUCACUUUCUUCCAUUCACUCCAAGAUUUUUACACAACUGGACCUCUCCAUGUGGGUGAGGCGCCACCUGCUUUUCUUCUUGGUUUCCCUAUU